rnacentral:tRNA from 1 species
GGGCCCAUAGUCCAGUGGUUAAGACGCCGCCUUGACUUGGCGGAGACCGGAGUUCGAUUCUCCUUGGGCCCA